rnacentral:rRNA from 1 species
UACGUAGGGUGCAAGCGUUAUCCGGAAUUAUUGGGCGUAAAGAGCUCGUAGGCGGUUUGUCGCGUCUGCUGUGAAAACUGGGGCUCAACCCCCAGCCUGCAGUGGGUACGGGCAGACUAGAGUGCGGUAGGGGAGAUUGGAAUUCCUGGUGUAGCGGUGGAAUGCGCAGAUAUCAGGAGGAACACCGAUGGCGAAGGCAGAUCUCUGGGCCGUAACUGACGCUGAGGAGCGAAAGCAUGGGGAGCGAACAGG